CAGCACAAAACAUCGUCCCCAGCCCCGCUGCUGCACUCCGACACACGUGAUAAGGAAAUGAGUAGUCCCCCGUACAGUAAUUUCCUCUACGCUGCGGAGUUUCAACACAAUCGCCCUUCAGGCGCGGACAAACUGCCAGUAUGACAGGUGCAGGAAGUCUCUAUCCUUUCUGAAAUGACGUCAGACUACGGUGGUGUCGACACGAAGGUUCUGAACUAGGACAAUUUGGGAUUCAUAAUCUUUCCCUUGUGGGCAGAUCCACCCAACCCCACAGUCCUGCCAGCUGGAAUUUCCAGGAUGUGUCUGAAGGCUCCAAAGCACACAAACAUAUGAUGAAAUCCAGAAGCAUGGACACUACAGACUGAGCCUCUCCCACAUCCUUAAGAUCAUGCAACGUCAAUAAAAUGAAACACUACUGGUCAGAAUUUUCACCUCCAGUGUUCCAUGCCUAAUGAUGUGAUUUUAAGAUGUUACUACCCCAGGAAGAAGCAUAAAGCCCAGAAGAAAACAAGGAGAAGAGGCUUAGGUCUAUUAGUAUUAGUAAGAGUGGAGGAAAAAAAAAAAAAAAAAAGUAAAUCACCACAAACCCAUUUAUGCCCCCAAGUUCAGCAGCAUCCAUGCUUACAUAUAUUUAGCCAUAACAGGUAUGGCUAAAUAAUGUAUAAUGUAACUUGAAGAGUUAGAAGAAGGUAAUUAAUAACUUUUCUGUUUGGUGUAUUUGUUCUACAAGGAGAUUAAAAUAAAAAAUCAUCUGCAUAUUUUUCAUUAUGCACAAAGA